rnacentral:rRNA from 1 species
GACAGAGGUGCCGAGCGUUAGGCGGAAUCACUGGGCUUAAAGCGUGUGUAGGCGGGUCGUUAAGUGUCUUGUGAAAUCCCACCGCUCAACGGUGGAACUGCUGGGCAUACUGGCGGUCUUGAGCCAGCUAGGGGCUACCGGAACAAAUGGUGGAGCGGUGAAAUGCGUAGAUAUCAUUUGGAACGCCAAUGGUGAAAACAGGUAGCUGGGAGUGUGCUGACGCUGAGACACGAAAGCCAGAGGAGCAAACGGG